CUGAAUUAUAAUAUUUUAUCAACAGUCCAGUUGUGUACUUUUCCCUUAAUUUUACGCUUAUUGUGUGUCGGCAGAAGCUGUCGUUGAACCUACGCUGUAAAAGUGUUUAUAGCGCCCUCUGCAGGAGAUUUGCAGAUGUGCCACAGGCUGCACAGUGCACAGCUAGGGCAGUGAAAAUAGGGAAUGAUAGAGAAUUAUGGUUUAACAAAAGGCACGUAUAGUUCUUAAUGUCUAAGACAUUCGAUUGGGUUGGGCUUCGAGAUGCCAUUAUAAAAGCCUACACUGAGCGGAUAAGGGACUCUCAGCAGACGGAGGGACGAAGGACCCAUCCCUGAGACCAUGGCAGCAGAGGCAGUUGUUUCUGUUGUGACGACAGGAGCUCCCGAAAGCACUCCGAUGAAAGAUCUGGUGAACCAGGGUAAUAAGACGAUGGACGCCGAGGCCUCUGCAGAGCCUGAGCUACAGAUGGCCAUCAAGUGUCGUGACGUCUGCCGGUCCUACGGCAAACUGAAGGUCAUCAGCAACAUGGACCUGACUGUUCCACAGGGACAAAUUUAUGGCCUGUUGGGGCCCAGUGGAUGUGGGAAGACCACGCUGUUAAAAUGUAUCGUAGGAACUCUGAAGAUCUCCCGGGGCCACAUCAGUGUUCUGGGAAAACCUCCUUCCUUUCCUGGUCAUGAAGUUCCUGGCAGGAUGGUUGGAUACAUGCCACAGGAUUUGGCGCUGUAUAAUGAGUUCACAAUCAGUGACACACUCACAUUCUUUGGACGCAUUCACGGACUGACCUCCAAGGAGACCCAGGCCCGCAUGGACUUCCUGGUGGACUUCCUGGAACUACCUCAGAAGUGCAGGCUGGUCCGAAAUCUCAGUGGAGGCCAGAGGAGGAGGGUGUCCCUCGGAGCUGCUCUGCUACAGAACCCACAGCUUCUAAUUCUGGAUGAGCCCACAGUGGGAGUGGACCCUGUGUUAAGAGCCAGGAUCUGGCAGCAUCUGGUGGAGAUAGUAAAGACGGGAAAGGUGUCGGUCAUCAUCACAACACACUACAUAGAGGAGGCCCGUCAAGCUAAUGUGGUUGGUCUUAUGAGGAACGGCCGUUUGCUGGCAGAAGGAAAUCCACAGGAAGUGAUGCAUCAGCUCAAUGCAUCCACGUUGGAGCACGCCUUCCUCCAGCUCUGUGAGACAUCAGACCUGAUGGACUCAAAGCAGGGCAGCAGGCAGCAGGGGGAAAGCAAACAUUCACUUGAGAGCGGACAGGACGAGAGCCGACCCAUUCUUAGCAUAGGACCAGGAGGAACACCAGAGGACAUACCUAAACAUGCUGUGGAUUGGAAGGUACGAGCCAGGCAUGUGCUUCCCAAGUGGAGGAACAUCUCAGCGCUGAUGAUAAAGACCCUGAUACGGAUGAAGAGGAUGCCUGGGUCGUUGUGCUUCCAGUUCUUACUGCCGGUCAUCCAGAUCUCCCUUAUGUGUGUGUGCAUUGGAGGAGACCCCAAGGGCGUCCGGGUGGCUGUGGUGAACAACGAGACAUCCUCCUCUGGCUACAGCCAGCUGCUGCUGGGCUUCCUAGACAACUCCAGUAUAGAGCAGGUACCGCUGAGCCACGCAGACGCCUUCACUGGGAUCUACAACGGAGAGUACUGGGGGGUCCUCGGCUUCGGACAGAACUUCUCCAGCUACAUGACUAGCAGGGCUCUCAAACCGCAAACCGUUUCUAAAGAUGUGGUCGAUGGAGGCUCAGUACACGUCUGGCUGGACCUGACAAAUCGACAAAUUGCUCUGAUGCUCCAGAAGAAAGUCUUCCAGGCCUUUCAGGAAUUUGUAGAUUAUAAACUGGACAGCAAGGCCUACAUGGUGGCUCUGCCUAUUAAGAUAGAAGAGCCGAUCUAUGGAAGCCUCAACACUGACUUCACCACCUUCAUCACUCCGGGAGCCGUGCUCAGUAUCACCUUCUACCUGGCGGUGGGGCUCACCGCGCUCUCCUUUGUCCUGGAGAGGAAGGAGGGUCUGCUGGACAGGUGCUGGGUGGCAGGUGUGAGCUCUUUAGAGACGAUGUUGGCCCAUCUUCUGUCUCAGCUGUUUGUGAUCAGUGUCCAGAUCCUUCUCAUGCUGCUAUUCGUCCUCUUGGUUUUCAAGAUCCCUAACGAGGGCUCUCUGAUGCUGGUGGUGGCCCUCAUCGUGCUGCAGGGCGUUACUGGCAUCGCCUUCGGCCUGGUCAUCUCCGCCGCCAUCGACGACGAGCAGAGUGCCAACCAGGCGGCCUUAGGCGUCUUCUACCCCAACCUGGUGAUCAGCGGGGUGAUCUGGCCUGUGGAGUGUAUCCCCUACCCUCUGCGCUACCUCAGCCUGGCGCUGCCUCAGACCUACGCCUCAGAAGCACUGCGCUGCAUCAUGUAUAGAGGUUGGGGCCUAGGUCACAUGAUGGUGUGGCGCGGUUUUGCGGUCACGUUGGGAUGGAACACCUUUUUCCUCCUUCUGGCCACCAUCAUCCUCAAGCUCAGGACGUGACAACCCAGCCUUCAGGGCAGCCUGGACGGAGGGCAUCGAUGUUAGCCUGUCUGCAGGGAGCACCAGAAAAGGAUGGAACCAUACCGAUAAAACUAAAGUGUGUUACCAUUUCAUGCAAUAAAUGGUUAAAUCUAUGAAACGAGUGAUUCCUGAAAGAAAUUGCUGUAUGACGUUAUUUUAGUUAUUGUAUAGCUUUACAUUUUUCCAAACUGACAAGUUAUGAGCACACAUGUUUAUUUUUUGUAUGUUUUAACGUGCAAUCCCUAAUAUGGAGAGAGUCUACGAAACAAAUCAUGUUAUGAUUCAGAUAAUAUACAUAAUAGUUGUGAAGGGAUGUAUAACACAUUGAUGUGCUAUUUUUCCAAAUUGCAUGUAUAGCACAUUGAUGUGCUAUACAUAAUUCAGUGAUUGAUCACUGCAUUAUUAUUGAAUACUGCAUAUUUGAAUGCUUGUUCCGAGUGGUGACUUCAUUCAGCCCUAAAGAGACGAAACAUGGCCGGUGUGUCUGAAAUUAACUAUCAUGUCCAUAUGUGUCCUUGUUUAGGUUAACCAUUACCUUGUGGCUGCCCCAAUCAGAGAGCUGCAUACCAUUCAGCCAAUGGCAGUGGGUGGUGAGCAAACUAAAAACAUUAAAUACAAUUAUUUGCAGUGACUCAGCAAUUAAAUCAAAUUACAAGCCUAUUAGAAAAAUAUUGACCCGGUUGCACCCAUCUUUUAGUCACAAAUUAAAAUGUACAAAUUCUUGAAGUAUACCAUAUUUUAUGCCAUUACCACACACUUUUGCCAGCAUAUAAUAUAAAUAGGCUACGUCAUUCCGUAAAUCUUUGUUGGAAUUGUUACAAUUUGCAGAUAAAAAAGACCUUCGAAAAACGUGUUGUAGAACAUAAUGUGGGUUUACUGUCAUAAAGUGCCAGAAAGUUGAUAAUAUAAUUGACUCUUAUCAGUCAGCAUUUUACUGUCAUUGUUAUUUUUAUUCUCUCAAUUUUUCGCUAGUUUGCCUUUGUUGUCUUAUUAGUUCCACCCAAGUUAUUAAGUGGAUUUUGAGAAUCUGUUUUUUUUCUUGUGUGUUGUCGUGUAUUAAAGGUGUAAAGAUUUAAAGGUAAAAUAUGUAAUAUUUCUGCAUUAAAAUAUCAAAAAACGUC